rnacentral:misc_RNA from 1 species
CCGGGAAGUCGGAUUUCAACGUAGAAUAUUACAUUCAAUAGUGUUUACGCUGUGACAUUGAUAGAUGUUCGGAUUUAUGUUGAUAAUUUAGCAGGAACAUUCAGUUAUUGUUUUUUUUGCGCUUGUCAAUCAACUUACAAUCGAGCGAACAAACUAUCACCAUUGGUUGUUUACAAUGUAUAAUACUGUUGCGGAAUUGGCUAGAUCACCAGCAAGUGUGAACCAUACGAAGAUGGCAAAGUCGCUUUGUAUUGAAAAGGAAAAGCAAUCUUUCGUGUCAACGGAGCCGAAGAAUGAAGAGAAAGAGGAACUUGAAAGGUGGACGACGUUGUGUUACAAAUACCUAUGUCUUCUGUCAUUGAAAUGUGCAUGUUUGUUGGCUUUUACGGAACUGUAUUAUGAAUGUAAGAAGACGGUGCUGCUGCUGAUGUUAGUAUUAAUGGGAAAGCUAAAAUAUUUCUUGCUAAAAGAGAUUGAGCAACAAUUCCCUGACUGGCAUAUUAGAGAAACAACCGAUGAUACCAGCUGUUUUGUUUGUCAAAAUGCAAAGAGAAAGAAUAUUGGCGUAGACAAAUGUUUGAAAACUGCGUGCUCAAAAUGUAUGCCCUCCCCCGACUGCAUUGAUCUUCAGGAAGAUGCCAUAGUUGAUUAUUACCCCGAUAAAGAACAAGAAACAAGAUUGGAGCAACUGUAUUUAAGUAAAAACUCUGAUGAAGCCUGUUGUGAGAACAAGAGAAGUGGUCAGACAGGGAUCUGCACAGUUGACUGUUCCCGAUUAUUGUGGAACCAUAACGAAGACGGCGAUAUCAAAAAGAUACUGGGUUUUAAGGAGUAUCAACCAUUUGACUCUUUGAUAAAAAAGAUGACUGGCAGAUCGGACAACCUUAACUUCGAAAAGUCACUCAUGAACCAUGUCCUUAUGAACAUACCUUUGAACUACUUGUCAACAGACAGCGACAGUGUACAAAUGUUCUUCGUCCGAGAUGUUCAGAUAAGCCAUCUAAAUGUACAAGUCUGCACAGAAUACAUGCCAGUCAAAACACCAAAUGAAACGGUAUGUAAUUAUAUAAAUAUUUGGGUAGAAGUUUGCUUAGUUGUCUAUAUCUGGUCAUCCUUGAACAUUAAGGAAGAUUCUCAUAUCAAGAAGACAAACCUCAAACCAUUUCCUGAAGAAACUGCUGAGAUUACUGCUCUAGAAGAUGUGCCCACGAACAGACAUUGUAACAGUGGAGAAGGUCUUGUCAAGAAGACAAACCUCAAACCAUUUCCUGAAGAAACUGCUGAGAUUACUGCUCUAGAAGAUGUGCCCUCGAACAGACAUUGUAACAGUGGAGAAGAUCUUGUCAAGAAGACAAACCUCAAACCAUUUCCUGAAGAAACUGCUGAGGUUACUGAUCUAGAAGAUGUGCCCACGAACAGACAUUGUAACAGUGGAGAAGUUCUUGUCAAGGUCAGAAGUUUUACAGGACAAUCAGAAGAAAAAAAAUCAAAGAAGAAAACUUUGGCUACAAGGAAACUAAAGAAAAAGUGCUGGUGGCAACCUAAACUCAUUAGGUUUAUGCUUAUUAUGCAUAUUCUUCCGUCAGUUUGUGGGGCUGCUUUCCACAAUGAACUGAAUGUUUCAAACUCCGUUUUUGUACAACCGUUACUUCUUACUAGAUAUUGUAACCGUGAAAACCUUUACACUUCAAAUGAUAGAUGUCAAACAAAUGAGGUUUCACUGAAUAGAUUGAUUAAAAGCUGUGAAUUUGAAGAACUUUGCCAUGUAGAAGAAAAGCCCAUUUGUGUAAACAUUCAGGAAUCUUCUGUAUUCGUUUGCUUGAGAAAAGAAUUAAAAUGCCCAAAAGGAUAUAGACUAAGGCCAUGGGUAGAUGAUAACAAACCAGAUGAUGUUAAUUUUCAAAAGGAGAAAUGUCCAGACGGAACAUAUCAGUUAUAUGAGUCAGAUUGUAUACACGCUUGUUUGGAAAAACAUAGGGAUCUUGAAAACAUCAGCGAGAGAUAUAUUGUGCAUUCCUUAGGUGACAACGUAUCACCCGCCAAAGUGUAUUGCAAUUAUAAAAAAGGGUUUUACAACGGAGAAGGCCAAUUUCUGCUUGAUUAUGACAUGGAGGAAAUAUUCAAACCCUACUUCUGCGAUAAUAUCAAUGACAUACAACCGUGUCAAGGAGGACAAUUCCCUCUACCAAAUGGUAGCUGUGUCGGUCACUGUCAAGACGGAUUUGAAAGAAAUGCGCCUGACUUUGUGUGCACACAAAAGGAUACUACAAGUUCAGGAAGCAAUGCUACCCCAGCGUCACCACUUGUGACAAGAACAUCUACACCGUAUGAUACCUCAACAAGUCAGGAAGAAGUAACUACACAUUGUCACGUCAUAACACCCACUACGAAAGGGAAAAAAUGUUAUGGAAUACAUUUUCAGAGAAAACGGUUGAAGCUCAGAACAAUCAUGAAGACGAAACAAGCACAGAAUCUCCGUCAUGGGAAAACACAGUUAUUGGAGUUAUUGGUGGAGUUUUUGGUGGAGUUAUUGUAACAGUUGUAGUCUGGUUAGUUGUGCGAAAACGAGAUUGUCGUUUAAAUGAAUGUCGUGGAUACCAAACUACACGAACAGAGGGCAGUGACGAGGCCAGUGAGAAUAGAUCUAACAAUUUUCAAGAUUCAGAUCAAUCAGUGAUUAUUACUGUAGAGGAAGCAGACGACCAAAGUGGAGUUGCGACAGC